rnacentral:rRNA from 1 species
UACGUAGGGGGCAAGCGUUGUCCGGAAUCAUUGGGCGUAAAGAGCGUGUAGGCGGCUCGGUAAGUCCGCUGUGAAAGUCCAGGGCUCAACCCCUGGAAUGCCGGUGGAAACUGUCAGGCUCGAGUCCGGAAGAGGCGAGUGGAAUUCCUGGUGUAGCGGUGAAAUGCGCAGAUAUCAGGAGGAACACCAAUGGCGAAGGCAGCUCGCUGGGACGGUACUGACGCUGAGACGCGAAAGCGUGGGGAGCAAACAGG